CGCGCAGGCGGUUCUUUAAGUCUGGUGUAUAAACCUGGGGCUCAACUUCAGGAGGCACUGGAAACUGGGGAACUGGAGUGUAGGAGAGGAAAGUGGAAUUCCACGUGUAGCGGUGAAAUGCGUAGAGAUGUGGAGGAACACCAGUGGCGAAGGCGACUUUCUGGCCUAUAACUGACGCUGAGGCGCGAAAGCGUGGGGAGCAAACA
rnacentral:rRNA from 1 species